GUGAGGAAUUUUCCGCAAUGGGCGAAAGCCUGACGGAGCAAUGCCGCGUGAAGGAUGAAGGCCUAUGGGUUGUAAACUUCUUUUCUCAGAAAAGAAUUAUGACGGUAUCUGAGGAAUAAGCAUCGGCUAACUUUGUGCCAGCAGCCGCGGUAAGACAGAGGAUGCAAGCGUUAUCCGGAAUGAUUGGGCGUAAAGCGUCUGUAGGUUGUUUAAAAAGUAUUCUGUCAAAGAUUAGGGCUUAACCCUAGAUAGGCAGAAUAAACUUUUAAGCUAGAGUUUGGUAGAGGCAGAGGGAAUUCCCGGUGGAGCGGUGAAAUGCGUAGAUAUCGGGAGGAACACCAAAGGCGAAGGCACUCUGCUGGGCAAAUACUAACACUGAGAGACGAAAGCGAGGGGAGCAAAUGGGAUUAGAUACCCGAGUAGUCC
rnacentral:rRNA from 1 species